AAGUAAGAAGCAAAUUUUGCAAUCAGUUUCGACCUGAUCUUAGAUAAUUCAACUUAUCCUUGCUUU
rnacentral:tRNA from 1 species